rnacentral:rRNA from 1 species
UACGUAGGGACCAAGCGUUGUUCGGAUUUACUGGGCGUAAAGGGCGCGUAGGCGGCAAUUCAAGUCAUCUGUGAAAUCUCCGGGCUUAACUCGGAACGGUCAGAUGAUACUGCUUUGCUAGAGUGCGGAAGGGGCAAUCGGAAUUCUCGGUGUAGCGGUGAAAUGCGUAGAUAUCGAGAGGAACACCUGAGGUGAAGACGGGUUGCUGGGCCGACACUGACGCUGACAGCGCGAAAGCCGGGGGAGCAAACGGG